CCUACGGGAGGGCAGCAGUGAGGAAUAUUGGUCAAUGGGCUUACGCCUGAACCAGCCAAGUCGCGUGAGGGAAGACUGCCCUAUGGGUUGUAAACCUCUUUUGUCAGGGAGCAAUUGGCGCUACGUGUAGCGUUAUCGAGAGUACCUGAAGAAAAAGCAUCGGCUAACUCCGUGCCAGCAGCCGCGGUAAUACGGAGGAUGCGAGCGUUAUCCGGAUUUAUUGGGUUUAAAGGGUGCGUAGGCGGAAUGCCAAGUCAGCGGUAAAAUCGCGGGGCUCAACCUCGCUCCGCCGUUGAAACUGGCGUGCUUGAGUGGGCGAGAAGUAUGCGGAAUGCGUGGUGUAGCGGUGAAAUGCAUAGAUAUCACGCAGAACUCCGAUUGCGAAGGCAGCAUACCGGCGCCCAACUGACGCUGAAGCACGAAAGCGUGGGUAUCGAACAGGAUUAGAUACCCUUGUAGUC
rnacentral:rRNA from 1 species